rnacentral:misc_RNA from 1 species
GAUGAAGAACGCAGCGAAAUGCGAUAAGUAGUGUGAAUUGCAGAAUUCAGUGAAUCAUCGAAUCUUUGUACGCACAUUGCGCCCUUUGGUAUUCCUUAGGGCAUGCCUGUUCGAGCGUCAUUUAAACCUUCAAGCUCAGCUUGGUGUUGGGUGACUGUCCGCUUCACCGCGGACUCGCCUCAAAAUUAUUGGCGGCCGGUACAUUGGCUUCGAGCGCAGCAGAAACGCGAACUCGGGCCCGUCGUAUUGGCUCCCAGAAGCUAUCUUCACAAUUUUGACCUCGGAUCAGGUAGGGAUACCCGCUGAACUUAAGCAUAUCAAUAAGCGGAGGA